GUGGGGAAUAUUGGGCAAUGGGCGCAAGCCUGACCCAGCAACGCCGCGUGAAGGAAGAAGGCUUUCGGGUUGUAAACUUCUUUUAAGAGGGAAGAGCAGAAGACGGUACCUCUAGAAUAAGCCACGGCUAACUACGUGCCAGCAGCCGCGGUAAUACGUAGGUGGCAAGCGUUGUCCGGAUUUACUGGGUGUAAAGGGCGUGCAGCCGGGUCUGCAAGUCAGAUGUGAAAUCCAUGGGCUCAACCCAUGAACUGCAUUUGAAACUGUAGAUCUUGAGUGUCGGAGGGGCAAUCGGAAUUCCUAGUGUAGCGGUGAAAUGCGUAGAUAUUAGGAGGAACACCAGUGGCGAAGGCGGAUUGCUGGACGAUAACUGACGGUGAGGCGCGAAAGUGUGGGGAGCAAACAGGAUUAGAAACCCCAGUAGUCCG
rnacentral:rRNA from 1 species